AGAAUAUUUUAUCCUUUAUUUAUUCUGGUUAAUUUUUAUUCAUUUUAUACCUCUAUGUGCAAAAUGCGUUUACAAGUAUAAGGAAAUAUUGCCAGGUUGAACCUAGUCCCAAGGCAUUAAGCUAAUCAUUCUAUAUUGUUUAAUUUCACAAGAAUUAAGUUUAUAGCUGAUUUGAUCACGAAGGCGGCGAACGGCUAAGCGUAGUAGAAAGUAUAUUAAAACACGGCUAAGCAUUUCUUAUAUAAAAUGCGCUUUAAAAUUCCCCUGUGCCAAAACUUUCCGCAUCAAUAUGCGUUUUGAACCUUUCUAGGUCGAAAUUUGUUUUUGCGUGACUCUGGUUUAUAAAGGCAGCACUUGUCUUGCGAUAGGAACUUCUAGUUUAUAUUUGAUUCGAUCAAGAAUCAGGGUAGCGGGUUAGCGUAGUAGAAAGUAUAAUAAAGGACGGGUUAGCAUUUCUUAUAUCAAAAUGCGCUUUGAAAUCCCCCUCUUCCAAAACUUUCUGCACCAAUAUUCAGUUCUGAAGCAUCCUAAGUCGAUUUAUAUCAAAAAAUGUUUGUAAGUCAAACUUUGGUCGA
rnacentral:lncRNA from 1 species